CCCUGGGAGGAGCCCCACCCUGGCCCGCCUUUGUUCACAGUCCGCGCGUCCCGCACAGUUGCCGCCCAUGCUCGCACACUGCUCUUGGCGGUCGUGCCCCGGAAUAGCGGGGUCUUGGCGCGCCAUCUGCACCCCAGCCGAGCGACGCCCGCAGGCUCGCCCCGCUGCACCGUUGUUUGCACGAGGGGCUUUCCGUUCAGAAGGACGCGUGCUCCGGGCAGGGAGCGUGCGCUCUGCAGUCAGCUCCCUGCGGCCCCGACACGCAGGGACCGUGAUCCGGGUCCCUCUGUGCAGGCGGCGUGGAGGUGAUCAGUCGGGCCUCAGGAAAAGGGAGGACAUCACCAGCUUUAGAGGAAACAGGAGUGGGAUUCCAUUUCCUCCUCUCUGCACCUGUCCAAAUGUCCAGAUCCGUGUGGUCUCCUGGGGCCUCUGCAGCUGUGUGGACCCCAUCCCUUCUCCGCAGAGCUGAGGUAGGAGAGGCCCUUCUGGCUGGGGCUCACUCGUGUGCUGUUAAGUCUGCCCUCCACCUGGCCUGGUCCUGAAUGGCCACCAGAAGCUGCUACUUCUUGAUGUCAUUCCAGUAACUGUGGUUGCUCUGUCUGCACCCAGACUAGGGAGGCGGGGGAGGGAAGCAGGAGCUUCAGCCAGAGUUAGUGAGGGCUGAGGAGGAGUUCCCAGCAGUCAGGAGAGCUUGUAUUUCUUUUUAAGAAUAAGUUUUAGCUCAAAAAUGCUACUUCUAUCAAUCUUUUGCCAGAGAACACCUGUAGGGUGUGGACGUGUGGGCACCCGGGAGAGAGGACAGCAAGGAGCUCGGGCCCGCGUGUGUGUGUGUGUGUGUGUGUAUGUGUGUGUGUGUGUGUGUGCGUGUCCAGCGGGUCCGCCCGGCUCUGCUGCUCUUUGAGUCUAAACUUGUUCUCCCUGACUAGGCCACAGCAUCCUGGGGUGGGGGCUGUGUCUGCCCCCCGGCGCCUCCUGCAUCCCACCCCACACCCCACCUGUAGAAUGAAUGAUUCAGCAAAUGAAUAAGUAAAUAAGUAAUGUUUUCUUGCAGACCUUGCACUUUGCAGAAAAGAGUUGAGGGGGAGUUUUAAUUCCCCUGUGCCCUCUCCUUCCACCUAUAAAUCCCCACGUUGGCCAUCUGGGGCUGGGUCACACACGGGCUGGCUGUUAUUCCCUCCACUCUUCCCAUAGCAUCUCACUGGUCCAGUGGUCCCACCAAGAGACAUGAAGACUAUUGCAAUCUCUAUGUAAAGAGGGAGAGAUGCCUCAGGAAUCACAGCUACCUUCCAAGGAGAACAACAGCCAUCAAAAGGAACCCUAAGGUCUCUGCUAAUCUCUGUUGCCCUUUGGAGGAGAACCUUGAUGGGUGUGGACGUGCAGUGGUGGUGAGUUGGAAGCUGAAGCCGAGCAGGGGCUGGGAAGAGUGACAGCACUCUCUAAAGAAGUAUGAGGUGCUUGUGGUGAAAUGGCUCCAUGAAGUCGUCUGGUGACAAGAGGAGCUUCAGAUCAAAGGUGACCAGGAGAAUACAUGCCUCUUGAGGACUUGUAGAAAUCGGGGGGAGGCACGGGGCUUUCUAAAAUUCCACCCGACCUGCACCUAGGGAUACCUGGGACACGACAACGAAGCAGGUGCUGGCGGGGCUGCCAUUGCUGCCCCACCCCAGCCUCGAGUGUGGGCACAUCACAGCACUGGCACUGUCGGCAGAGGGAACUUUUACAUCUUCCCUGUGCUGCUCCCCCACGCCAGUCCUGUGUGUACUUGGGGAUGGGGACAGCAAUUGUUGUUCCCAUUUUACAGAUGGAAAAACCAUGGCCCACAGAGGGGACAUAAUUGCCCAUACCUAGCAAGUAGUGUCAUCAGGACUGUAGCUCAGGGUUCUGAGAGCCCACCGGCCACCCACUCACAGCGGGAGCACCCUGCAGGGGCGCUGAAGGAGCUCCAAACUGGCUUCCUAACCCACGGCAUCAUCCACUGACGAUCCUCUUGGAAAAUGUUACAUUCCAGCCCUACUUAUAUCCUUCAUAAAAAUACAUUUUGGGUGGAUUAAUUCCUACAUGCGAAAUCCACAAUUGCCUUUAUUUAAGUCUUUGAGUAAAAAAUAGGAGGAUAAGUUUAUAAAUCUAUGUUAAAAUAUUCUUAAGACACAAAAAAGCAAUAAAUGAAAAUAGCAAUAAAUUUGGCUUCACCAAAACUAAAUUUUCCAUAUGACAAAAGUUAGCACAAACAAGUUUGAAAGACUUUCUACCAACGGGAGAAACGUUUGCUAUGUGAUAUGCAUAGCAGAAAAAUUGGCCAGGAAAUAUAAACAAGUCCCGCCGAUGGCUAGAAGACCACAUGUGAGACACAGGCCAAGGGGCUGAGACGGAGGUGGGCGGGUGUGUGAGCUGUCCACGCCUCGGCCAAGGGGGCCUGAGCCAGGCCUGGGACAACGCCUCGCAUCCGUCAAGCCGGCAGAUGUUUUGAGUUUGAUAGCAGCCAGGUAGAGUGAGGGAGCAGGGAGCAGGUGAGCUCUGCACCGCAGAGGUGUGUAAAAGGCAGACACCCUGGGGCCGCAAGGCAGCGCUUACUGCUGUGUGGUGUGCACACCCAGGAGCCAGCACUUUGUUCCUCAGGGUCCACCUGCAGGCUCCCCCAGGUCACAGGCCUGCAGCUCUGGCUGUCACCCUGAAAGCCAAAAGGUCUGGAAGCAAUCUAAAAUACCAUCUGUAGGAAAAUGGCAAAAAGAAACUAUGCUGUGCAUGUGCCUGUGUUGUGUGUGCACACGUGCGUGUGCGUGCGUGUGUGUGCGUGAGCGUGGGCACUCCCAUGCAUCGCAGCAUGCUGCUGCAACCAAGGUGGGCAUGGGUGAUCUGCAAGUCUGGUGAAAAUGUUCCUUGCACACAAGACAAGGAAAUAAAGUAUAAAGACAAAAACUCCUCCCCAGCCUUCAAACUCUCCCUGGCAUGGCCCUGCCUUAGCUUCCUGCCCUGGCGUCAGCCCACCGCCCUGGCCCUCUGUCCUCUCGCCCCCAGACCUCAGGACUGGCAGGGGCCUUCACUCCACUCCUCCCUCCCCACCACCUGAGCCGGCCUUGAGGCUGUGUCCCAGGGCAGCCCUCACCCUCAGGGGCAGCUGUGGUCCUCCCUGCGACGUGGCAGGUGACCACACACAGCACGUACAGCUGCUACCCACUCCUGCUCUCUGACCCAGCACCUGGCAGGUGGCGAGCCCGCAUGGACAUCAGCUGACGACGCAGGGGUGAUGCGCAGGAUUCAGUGGUCAUGUCUGUGGGUGCAAACGUGCAGACGCAGGCACACAGAAUUGUGCCUCCUCUGGGGUUGUAGAUGGUGGCAAAGAGGGAUUUGACUUAAUAAAAAGGUCUAUGUUCUUAACCAAAAAUGUAGCCAUGUAU